AUUGAACGCUGGCGGCAGGCCUAACACAUGCAAGUCGAACGCGUGGCGGACGGGUGAGUAAUGUCUGGGAAACUGCCCGAUGGAGGGGGAUAACUACUGGAAACGGUAGCUAAUACCGCAUACCAUCGGAUGUGCCCCGAUGGGAUUAGCUUGUAGGUGGGGUAACGGAUCACCUAGGAGACGAUCCCUCUCUGGUCUGAGAGGAUGACCAGACAAACUGGAACUGAGACACGGGCCAGACUCCUACGGGAGGCAGCAGUGGGGAAUAUUGCAAAAGGGGCGCAAGCCUGAUGCAGCCAUGCCGAGGGUAUGAAGAAGGCCUUCGGGUUGUAAAGUACUUUCAGCGGGGAGGCGUUACCCGCAGAAGAAGCACCGGCUAACUCCGUGCCAGCAGCCGCGGUAAUAC
rnacentral:rRNA from 1 species